rnacentral:rRNA from 1 species
CCUACGGGUGGCAGCAGUGAGGAAUAUUGGUCAAUGGGCGAGAGCCUGAACCAGCCAAGUCGCGUGAGGGAGUACUGCCCUAUGGGUUGUAAACCUCUUUUGUCGGGGAGCAAAAGCCGGACGUGUCCGGCUGUGAGAGUACCCGAAGAAAAAGCAUCGGCUAACUCCGUGACAGCAGCCGCGGUAAUACGGAGGAUGCGAGCGUUAUCCGGAUUUAUUGGGUUUAAAGGGUGCGCAGGCGGAUUUUUAAGUCAGCGGUAAAAUCGUGGGGCUCAACCCCAUCCAGCCGUUGAAACUGGGGAUCUAGAGUGUGCGAGAGGUAUGCGGAAUGCGUGGUGUAGCGGUGAAAUGCAGAGAUAUCACGCAGAACCCCGAUUGCGAAGGCAGCAUACCGGUGCACAACUGACGCUCAGGCACGAAAGCGUGGGUAUCGAACAGGAUUAGAUACCCUUGUAGUC